UCUCUCCCCCACUCUCUCACUCACUCGCUCACACACUCACUCUCUCACACACUCACAUACACUCACUCUCUCACACACUAACUCUCUCACACACUCAUAAACUCAGUAAGAAUUGCGGAAGUAAGCAGUAUUUAUGAUAAGUGUUGAAUAAGACUUAAAGCUCAUGCCGAAUACCGAAUAGCGCGACUCCAUGUAGCUUAAUUUUUUCCCACUGGAUCUGGACUCAACCUCAGUGAUGGCUCGAAAAAUUAGUCACAGGAGGCAGGGAAGCAUUGAACUAUUGGAAGCUAUCGGGGUGGUGAAAAAAGAAAAUGGCGCUGGGAGCCUUUCUAUGCUUCUUAUGCACUCCCCAAAGUCCUUCGACUAUGUUCUGGUGGCCCAGGAAAUGGAUAAAGAUACCAAAAAAGAAAGCUUCAUGAAGAAAUUGAAUUUCAUCAAUGCUUUGAAGGACAAGAACUUGCAGAUAACGAAAAUUACAGAUGAUGACAAAGUUUUUUAUGGAAUCACAGCCCCAAAAGAUAUCUUUGAGACAUACCGAUAUCUGCUUAAAGUAUCAGAUGCAUGUAACUGGAGCUCUGUGCAGCAGGGGAGUAUACCACAGUCAACAAGGAUACGAAUAGUUGAAUACAUCCUGCACCACACCUGUAUAGAAAGUAAUGGUGUUCCAGAGUAUUUGUCAGAUCUCAUUAAACAGGAUGUAUUUCGGGCACAGUUUUGUCUCCAUGAGAAAGAGGAACAGAAAGAACUGAGAAAGAACUGGGCUAGAUGGACUGCCUGUUUUAAUGGGCAGCCAAUAGCUGAUGUAAGACACUACUUUGGAGAAAAAGUGGCUCUGUAUUUCCUUUGGCUGGGCUGGUACACAUUUCUGCUCAUCCCUGCUGCACUGCUGGGGGUCAUAGUCUUCCUUUAUGGCCUAUUUUUCUUCAACCCCAACCCUCUAAUACAGGAGGUGUGUGAAUCAAAGAUUAUAAUGUGCCCACUGUGUGAUAAGAGAUGUAAGGUCUGGCGGCUCUCAGAUACAUGCAUGUACGCAAAGGUGAGCACAUUGUUUGACAAUGAAGGAACAGUUGCAUUUGCUAUGUUCAUGGCUGUUUGGGCUACUGUGUUUCUAGAGUUCUGGAAACUCCACACUGCCUCAUACGUCUGUGAGUGGAAAGUUUUUGAUUGGUGUGAAGAAGAGGAGGAGCUGAUCCUGGAGAUAGUGAAUAACCGUAAUUGCAAGUCUAAAAAGUACAGUCACUCAUACCUGCGCAGUACACUAAUAAUGGUGCUAAUGACGCUCAUGUUGCUUCUGAUCAUUGGAUUGGCACAGGCCAUUGUGGUGUUCAGGGUAAUAGCCAGUGUAGAGUUUGCUAAGCACACCAAAUGGCCUUUUCUUAGUGACAAUAGCAAUACUGUGGCUUUCAUGCUGGGAGCAGUGCUGCACUUCCUCACAAUAACCAUCAUGACCAGGGUCAAUCGCAAAGUGGCCAUUAAGUUAUGUGAAUUAGAAAAUGUGCGUUCACAUGCUGCUGUUGAACGAAGCUUUACAGUGAAGAUGUUUACCUUCCAGUUCUUCACUCUUUUCUCCUCACUCAUAUACACAGCAUUCUUUCUUGGCAGGAUAAACGGACAUCCAGGUGGAUAUGUGAGGAUAGCAGGAAUCUGGAGAUUAGAGGAGUGUCACCCUAGUGGAUGUCUGACAGACCUGUUCAUUCAGAUGGCCAUCAUCAUGUUGCUCAAACAGUUCAUCAGCAACAUGUUUGAGUUUUCAGGCCCCUGGUUCAAGCGGUGGCUGAAAAGGCGACGGAGUCGGAAGAUAAGGGUUAGACAGUGUUCAGAGGGCUGUUUAGAUGGUACAGGAGAUUCUAGGCUGUGUGAAAACUGUCAACUUAAGGACUUGCUCUGGAACUUUGACCUAAAUAACGUGGACUCAUUCAGCCUCUUCAAUGAAUUCCUAGAAAUGGUACUCCAGUUCAGUUUCACCACCAUCUUUGUGGCUGCAUUUCCUCUGGCUCCUCUGCUCGCUCUGCUUAACAACAUCAUUGAGAUCAGAAUGGACGCUAUUAAAAUGGUCAGUCUGGAGAGAAGACUGGUUCCCAGGAAGACUAAAGAUAUCGGUGUUUGGACAGAUGUUCUGGAAACAAUUGGUGUGCUAGCUGUCAUUGCUAAUGGGCUAGUCAUUGGCAUAUCCUCUGAUUUUAUCCCUCGGUUGGUGUAUCGUUACCGCUAUGGACCCUGCGCUAAUUUCAAUGCUAGCGGUGUUGAAUGUAUGUCAGGUUAUAUUAAUAACACUCUGUCUAUGGCUGAUACAAAUGAUGAAAACAUAAGAAAAGACUUUUUCCCCAAUCAACUCAUUCACAAUGGCAUGAAUGUGACACACUGCAGCUAUAGAGACUAUAGGAGUAAUGAUGAUUACACUUUAACCAAUCGGUUUUGGGUCAUUCAGGCAGUCCGCUUUGCCUUCGUUGUCAUUUUUGAGUUUAUUUCUUCUCCUAACCAAAAUGUACUGGACAAUUGUCGAGGCAGCAUGUUGUGGUGCUGUGUAAGUCCAUCGCAGGGUGGUUUGUCCCAAGUUCUCCCUUAGAGGUGAAAAAUACAAGGCUGCAAGACAAACUCGAAAGACUAAAAGAAGAACUAGCCCGAGCAAGAACAAAUGAACGACAAACUUGUUCAAUAAAUGUUCAGAAGACAGAAAAAGAACAAUCAGCAGCAGAAUAAACUGGACUACAAUGUCUAAUCUUAUUAUGAACCCUGUCCAUUCAUGAUCCCAUUUCCAGAAGAUGGAUUGAAGAUGAAUCUAUGCGCAGCUGUUUAAUUACUUGUUUCUAUUUGAUGCAUUAUUAAUUCACUACUCUAUUGUCAUUCUUUACUGUUUAUGACAGUCGCUUUAAUUUUUUGUCCACUGGAUUUUUUGUACUGUAUUUACAAUAUUUACAUAUACUUUUUUGUAUUUUUCAAGAUUAAUAUAUAUAUGUAUAUAUAUAAAGUCUCAAUUCUAGGGAUGUGAAACUUUAACUUUAAGUCAUGAUGCUUUACCAUGAUAAAAGUGUGUCUGCUCAUACAUGUUUUGCUGUCUUCUUUAUGGGGGAACUAAUGUGAGGAACACAGGGUACUGUACAAUUUCAAAACACCACCUAUUAUUUUAUUUAUUUUAUUUUAUUAAAAGUCACAUUGCUUGCUAUGCUA